rnacentral:rRNA from 1 species
UACGGAGGGUGCGAGCGUUGUCCGGAAUCAUUGGGCGUAAAGGGCGCGUAGGUGGCCCGGUCAGUUCGUGGUGAAAGCGCGGGGCUCAACCCUGCGUCGGCCAUGAAUACUGCCGCGGCUGGAGCACUGUAGAGGCAGGCGGAAUUCCGGGUGUAGGCGGUGGAAUGCGUAGAGAUCCGGAAGAACACCGGUGGCGAAAGCGGGCGACCUGGACAGGCACUGGACACUCAACUACGAAAGCGUGGGGAGCAAACAGG